rnacentral:rRNA from 1 species
GGUCAAGCUACAAAGGGCGCAUGGUGAAUGCCUUGGCAUCAGGAGCCGAUGAAGGACGUGAUAAGCUGCGAUAAGCUUCGGGUAGGCGCACAUAGCCUGAGAUCCGAAGAUCUCCGAAUGAGGAAACUCACAUGGGAAACCCCAUGUAUCAUUAAGUGAAUACAUAGCUUAAUGAAGGUAACCCAGGGAACUGAAACAUCUAAGUACCUGGAGGAAGAGAAAGAAAAAUCGAUUUUCUUAGUAGCGGCGAGCGAAAGGGAAAGAGCCCAAACCGGAAACUUGUUUCCGGGGUUGUGGACAUAACAUAAAAGUGGAGGCUAUUGUAACUGAAGAGAACUGGAAAGUUCCACCGUAGAAGGUAAUAGUCCUGUAAGUGAAACGAGAAGACCACGAGUUAUGAUCCAGAGUACCACGAGACACGUGAAACCUUGUGGGAAGCAGGGAGGACCACCUCCCAAGGCUAAAUACUACCUGAUGACCGAUAGUGAAGCAGUACCGUGAGGGAAAGGUGAAAAGAACCCCGGGAGGGGAGUGAAAUAGAACCUGAAACCGUGUGCCUACAACCGCUCAGAGCCCCUUAUGAGGGUGAUGAGGUGCUUUUUGUAGAACGAGCCAACGAGUUACGGUAUGUAGCAAGGUUAAGUACUUAAGGUACGGAGCCGAAGGGAAACCGAGUCUGAAUAGGGCGACUAGUUGCAUGCCGUAGACCCGAAACCGGGUGACCUAUCCAUGGCCAGGUUGAAGCGAGGGUAAAACCUCGUGGAGGACCGAACCACGUUGCUGUUGAAAAAGCAUGGGAUGAGCUGUGGAUAGCGGAGAAAUUCCAAUCGAACCCGGAGAUAGCUGGUUCUCUCCGAAAUAGCUUUAGGGCUAGCGUCGAGUAUGAGUAGUGGAGGUAGAGCACUGAAUGGGCUAGGGGGCAUAGCGCUUACCGAACCUUAUCAAACUCCGAAUGCCACAUACUUUGAGCUCGGCAGUCAGACUACGAAUGAUAAGAUCCGUGGUCAAAAGGGAAACAGCCCAGAUCGUCAGCUAAGGUCCCAAAGUGUAAGUUAAGUGGGAAAGGAUGUGAGAUUUCUAAGACAACUAGGAUGUUGGCUUAGAAGCAGCCAUUCAUUAAAAGAGUGCGUAAUAGCUCACUAGUCGAGAGAUCUUGCGCCGAAAAUGUAACGGGGCUAAACUUACCACCGAAGCUACGGGCUUGAACUUAGUUCAAGCGGUAGGAGAGCGUCGUAACCGGGCUGAAGUCGUACCGUAAGGAGCGGUGGACUGGUUACGAGUGAGAAUGUUGGCAUCAGUAGCGAGAUGUGGGUGAGAAUCCCACAGGCCGAAAACCUAAGGUUUCCUCAGGAAGGUUCGUCCGCUGAGGGUUAGUCGGGACCUAAGCCGAGGCCGAAAGGCGUAGGUGAUGGACAACUGGUUGAUAUUCCAGUACCACUACCAUCGUUAUUAUCGAUGGCGUGACGCAGGAGGAUAGUGUGUGCUAGCUAUUGGAUGCUAGUCUAAGCGUUUAGGCAGUGAGAGUAGGCAAAUCCGCUCUCAUAAUGCUGAGGCGUGAUGGGGAAGGUUCCACGGAACCGAAGUACAUGAUUCCACGCUGCCAAGAAAAGCGUCUAGAGAGAGAAGUAGUGCCCGUACCGCAAACCGACACAGGUAGGUGAGGAGAGAAUCCUAAGGCCGGCGGAAGAAUUACAGUUAAGGAACUCGGCAAAUUGACCCCGUAAGUUCGCGAGAAGGGGUGCCUACGAGAGUAGGCCGCAGAGAAUAGGCCCAAGCAACUGUUUAGCAAAAACACAGGUCUCUGCUAAAGCGUAAGCUGAUGUAUAGGGGCUGACGCCUGCCCGGUGCUGGAAGGUUAAGGGGAACACUUAGCGCAAGCGAAGGUGUGAACUUAAGCCCCAGUAAACGGCGGCCGUAACUAUAACGGUCCUAAGGUAGCGAAAUUCCUUGUCAGGUAAGUUCUGACCCGCACGAAUGGCGUAAUGACUUGGGCACUGUCUCAACUGUAAAUCCGGCGAAGUUGUAGUGCGAGUGAAGAUGCUCGCUACCCGCGAUUGGACGGAAAGACCCCGUAGAGCUUUACUGUAGCUUAGCAUUGAGUUUUGGUAUUGUCUGUACAGGAUAGGUGGGAGACUAGGAAACCAGGGCGUCAGCCUUGGUGGAGUCAACCUUGGGAUACCACCCUGACAGUACUGAAAUUCUAACUGGCGGCCAUGAAUCUGGUCACAGGACAUUGUUAGGUGGGCAGUUUGACUGGGGCGGUCGCCUCCUAAAAAGUAACGGAGGCGCCCAAAGGUUCCCUCAGAACGGUCGGAAAUCGUUCGAAGAGUGCAAAGGCAGAAGGGAGCCUGACUGCGACACCCACAAGUGGAGCAGGGACGAAAGUCGGGCUUAGUGAUCCGGUGGUACCUCGUGGGAGGGCCAUCGCUCAACGGAUAAAAGCUACCUCGGGGAUAACAGGCUGAUCUCCCCCAAGAGUCCACAUCGACGGGGAGGUUUGGCACCUCGAUGUCGGCUCGUCGCAUCCUGGGGCUGAAGUAGGUCCCAAGGGUUGGGCUGUUCGCCCAUUAAAGCGGCACGCGAGCUGGGUUCAGAACGUCGUGAGACAGUUCGGUCCCUAUCCGUCGCGGGCGUAGGAAAUUUGAGAGGA